rnacentral:rRNA from 1 species
GAUGAACGCUGGCGGCGUGCUUAACACAUGCAAGUCGAACGAUGAAGCCCAGCUUGCUGGGUGGAUUAGUGGCGAACGGGUGAGUAACACGUGAGUAACCUGCCCUUAACUCUGGGAUAAGCCUGGGAAACUAGGUCUAAUACCGGAUAGGAGCGCCUACCGCAUGGUGGGUGUUGGAAAGAUUUAUCGGUUUUGGAUGGACUCGCGGCCUAUCAGCUUGUUGGUGAGGUAAUGGCUCACCAAGGCGACGACGGGUAGCCGGCCUGAGAGGGUGACCGGCCACACUGGGACUGAGACACGGCCCAGACUCCUACGGGAGGCAGCAGUGGGGAAUAUUGCACAAUGGGCGCAAGCCUGAUGCAGCGACGCCGCGUGAGGGAUGACGGCCUUCGGGUUGUAAACCUCUUUCAGUAGGGAAGAAGCGAAAGUGACGGUACCUGCAGAAGAAGCACCGGCUAACUACGUG